UCGACUCUUCCGCCGAGUUGCUUCGAUGUCUGGUCUUCGCGCUUGCGCAUGCGCGGUUUCUCGAUUCUAUUGAAUCUUCUGCUCAAGAGCAGCGGCUAGCCUGUGUAUACUUGCGGUUCGAGAGAACUUCUUUUCUUUCUCUUUUUUGUUUCCUCUUUUUUUCUUUUGGAGGGAAUUUUAAUUGUGCCACUGAAUAUAUAGGUCGAUUCAAACAGAGCUAUGGAAACCAGAAGAGACGAAGAUACUUUCGAGAAAGCCGGAUUCGAUCAAGGACGAAAUAUGCUUUUUCCGUUGUCUUCUUCUUAUAUCGUUGCAUAAAAUUUGUAUUUUCUCUAAAACCUCUAGAAUCGUUUAAUUUUUGAUGAACGUUUUUAAUAAAUUCAUACUUUUAUGAUUUUCUCGGAUGUUGACGGAUUUUUUGUGAGGUUAGAAUCGUAAUGUCGAUGAAAAGAAAAUUGUAUAUUUUUAUUCAUGUUUCCUGAAGUUCGAUCGCUGCUUGAAUCCGCGACGCAGAAAACGCAUGCUUACGCAACGAUCGCUCACUUAUUUAAUAAAACAAAGUUACGACUAGUAUCGAGCAGUAAUAGCACGCUCCGGGGAAUGCUACUGUUGUUCACCCGUCCAAUGGCGAGAGAAGUUGACACAGCCGCUCGUUUAUCCACCAGGCGUGAACGAGUCUACCACGUGUAUGCAAAAGUUCUCUCGGAGUCCUUGCAUAGUACGCAUCGAGAACCAGGACACCUCAAAGGCUAAUAAUCUAUGCGUAGUGGACAGUUACGAGCCGGUGUUAUUCGUACCUUUCGGUUUUAACCUAUGUUAAUCCAACAUUUGGCCCAACUGUCCCUCGACUAACGGUCAUACGUUGACUUAGGUCUGGUGUCUAACGAGGCCAACCUUAUGUUCAAGUUAUUUUAUAAGAUAUAUUUCCGUUCACGAAUUAUGGAUUAGAUAAUAAAUUUUAUAAGAAGUUGUAAGUUUAUGUUACAGCUAUGAAAGGCAAUGUUUACUGGCUGUUAAUAUUAUAAGGAAAAUUGAUUAUGAUUAUACUAUUGUUGUUACUAAAAUAGAUAUGAAUAUACGUAAGUAUUUUAUGAACAAUAAUAAUGACGUGAGAAUAAAAGUAAAUAGUUGAAACUAUAA